rnacentral:rRNA from 1 species
AACGAACGCUGGCGGCAGGCCUAACACAUGCAAGUCGAACGCCCUCUUCGGAGGGAGUGGCAGACGGGUGAGUAACGCGUGGGAACCUACCUAUCGGUACGGAAUAACGCAGGGAAACUUGUGCUAAUACCGUAUACGCCCCCUGGGGAAAGAUUUAUCGCCGAUAGAUGGGCCCGCGUUGGAUUAGCUUGUUGGUGAGGUAAUGGCUCACCAAGGCGACGAUCCAUAGCUGGUUUGAGAGGAUGAUCAGCCACACUGGGACUGAGACACGGCCCAGACUCCUACGGGAGCAGCAGUGGGGAAUAUUGGACAAUGGGCGCAAGCCUGAUCCAGCCAUGCCGCGUGAGUGACGAAGGCCUUAGGGUUAAA